UGGUUCAGAUGGUAGAGAAUCUGCCUGCAAUGCAGGAGACCCAGGUUCGAUCCCUGG
rnacentral:tRNA from 1 species